rnacentral:misc_RNA from 1 species
UCUCCGUUGGUGAACCAGCGAAGGGAUCAUUACCGAGUUUACAACUCCCAAACCCCUGUGAACAUACCAUUUGUUGCCUCGGCGGUGCCUGCUUCGGCAGCCCGCCAGAGGACCCAAACCCUUGAUUUUAUACAGUAUCUUCUGAGUAAAUGAUUAAAUAAAUCAAAACUUUCAACAACGGAUCUCUUGGUUCUG